UACGUAGGCAGCAAGCGUUGUUCGGAAUUACUGGGCGUAAAGAGCGUGUAGGCGGUGCUCUAAGUUUGGUGUGAAAUCUCCCGGCUUAACUGGGAGGGUGCGCCGAAAACUGGAAUGCUUGAGCAUGGGAGAGGAAAGCGGAAUUCCUGGUGUAGCGGUGAAAUGCGUAGAUAUCAGGAGGAACACCUGCGGUGUAGACGGCUUUCUGGACCAUUGUUGACGCUGAGACACGAAAGCGUGGGUAGCAAACAGG
rnacentral:rRNA from 1 species